rnacentral:rRNA from 1 species
AUACGAAGGGUGCAAGCGUUGUUCGGAUUUACUGGGCGUAAAGCGCGCGCAGGCGGAUUGAUAAGCCAGAUGUGAAAUCUCGGGGCUCAACCCCGAAACUGCGUCUGGAACUGUUAAUCUAGAGUUAUGGAGGGGGGAGUGGAAUUUCGCAUGUAGGAGUAAAAUCCGUAGAGAUGCGAAGGAACACCAGAGGCGAAGGCGACUCCCUGGACAUAUGCUGACGCUGAGGCGCGAAAGCGUGGGGAGCAAACAGGAUUAGAAACCCUAGUAGUCC